rnacentral:rRNA from 1 species
UACGAAGGGUGCAAGCGUUAAUCGGAAUUACUGGGCGUAAAGGGUGCGUAGGCGGUUCGUUAAGUCUGUUGUGAAAUCCCCGGGCUCAACCUGGGAAUGGCAAUGGAUACUGGCUGGCUAGAGUGUGUCAGAGGAUGGUGGAAUUCCCGGUGUAGCGGUGAAAUGCGUAGAGAUCGGGAGGAACACCAGUGGCGAAGGCGGCCUUCUGGACCAAUACAGACGCUCAUGCACGAAAGCGUGGGGAGCAAACAGG